UGAAGACCUAUCUAAUUCAUCAGCGUCCUU
rnacentral:piRNA from 1 species